rnacentral:lncRNA from 1 species
UCAAUACUGUCAUGGAGGUGUGAGAUUCAGACAUGUGCACUUGCCUUUAGUGCAUAGCUUGGUGACCAAGGGAACAUGCGACAUGUGACAAGCACCCACAUGAAGAAGAAGACUGAAGCAUCCUAUGUUUCUACCUUACCUGACUACCAGUGGAGGUUAGCGCUCUACGUGUAUGAAUAUCUGCUCCAUGUAGGAGCUCAGAAAUCGGCCCAGACAUUUUUAUCAGAGAUAAGAUGGGAAAAAAACAUCACAUUGGGGGAGCCGCCAGGAUUCUUACAUUCUUGGUGGUGUGUGUUUUGGGAUCUCUACUGUGCAGCUCCAGAGAGACGGGAAACCUGUGAACACUCGAGCGAAGCAAAAGCCUUCCAUGAUUAUAGUGCUGCAGCAGCUCCCAGCCCCGUGCUAGGAAACAUGCCCCCAGGAGAUGGCAUGCCCGUAGGCCCCGUGCCACCAGGGUUCUUUCAGCCUUUUAUGUCACCUCGGUACCCUGGAGGCCCAAGGCCCCCGUUGAGAAUACCUAAUCAGGCACUUGGAGGUGUCCCAGGAAGUCAGCCAUUACUCCCCAGUGGAAUGGACCCAACACGACAACAAGGACAUCCAAAUAUGGGCGGACCGAUGCAGAGAAUGACUCCCCCAAGAGGAAUGGUGCCCUUAGGACCACAGAACUAUGGAGGUGCAAUGAGACCCCCACUGAAUGCUUUAGGUGGCCCCGGAAUGCCUGGAAUGAACAUGGGUCCAGGUGGUGGUAGACCGUGGCCAAACCCAACAAAUGCCAAUUCAAUACCCUACUCCUCGGCGUCUCCUGGGAACUACGUA